UAUGAGGUGGUCGAUUAAAGUCGGUAGAUUGUAAAUCUAUGAAUAAGUAUAAAAACUUUCUCGUAA
rnacentral:tRNA from 1 species